GACGAACGCUGGCGGCGUGCCUAAUACAUGCAAGUAGAACGCUGAAGAGAGGAGCUUGCUCUUCUUGGAUGAGUUGCGAACGGGUGAGUAACGCGUAGGUAACCUGCCUUGUAGCGGGGGAUAACUAUUGGAAACGAUAGCUAAUACCGCAUAACAAUGGAUGACACAUGUCAUUUAUUUGAAAGGGGCAAUUGCUCCACUACAAGAUGGACCUGCGUUGUAUUAGCUAGUAGGUGAGGUAAUGGCUCACCUAGGCGACGAUACAUAGCCGACCUGAGAGGGUGAUCGGCCACACUGGGACUGAGACACGGCCCAGACUCCUACGGGAGGCAGCAGUAGGGAAUCUUCGGCAAUGGGGGCAACCCUGACCGAGCAACACCGCGUGAGUGAAGAAGGUUUUCGGAUCGUAAAGCUCUGUUGUAAGUCAAGAACGGGUGUGAGAGUGGAAAGUUCACACUGUGACGGUAGCUUACCAGAAAGGGACGGCUAACUACGUGCCAGCAGCCGCGGUAAUACGUAGGUCCCGAGCGUUGUCCGGAUUUAUUGGGCGUAAAGCGAGCGCAGGCGGUUUGAUAAGUCUGAAGUUAAAGGCUGUGGCUCAACCAUAGUUCGCUUUGGAAACUGUCAAACUUGAGUGCAGAAGGGGAGAGUGGAACUCCAUGUGUAGCGGUGAAAUGCGUAGAUAUAUGGAGGAACACCG
rnacentral:rRNA from 1 species